CUUCGCACUUCCGCCAACAGUUGGUUCCCGAACUGCCCCAACGAAAGUUGAAGCCUUUUUGCCCCUUCCUCAUCCCUCUCGGUUACCACCGUAACCACGGCCGGUGAGAUCUGCGGACACACCGGAGCGGCGGCCGGAGAUGUCUGAUUCCGAUGUCGGAGCGGCGGCGCUGCGUUUUUGGUGGAAAUAAAAGCUGCAAGCCUAAAGUGUAACUCAGUUUCUUUGUACCUGUGGAGAUGUUCUGCUUGUUAACCCUGGCAUUUAGGUGAGUGGGUUUCAUAAUAGGAAAGCACAGGAUCUGAAAAAGCCAUUUCCCGGAUGUAUAGGAAGGAUGAUCAACAUAUUUGACUUUAGUGCCGGUGUGGCUGGGAACAAGAUGCUGACAGAAAGAGCUCACAGAGAUGGUUUUCCAGUUAAUAGAAACAAACAUGAUGCUAGAAAAGCCACCACACCAAGUGGAACUAAAGCAGAUGACAAACAAAUAGCCAAUGACCUGAAGCAGAAUUUAUCAAGCAAGAAAGCUAGUGGAACACCAAUGAAGAUGCUAAUAGCUCAGGAGAUGUCAAAAGAAACAGAGUCUAUACGGAAACCACCUAGUGUCGUUGCUCGACUUAUGGGCCUUGAUGAUGAUCUUACAGGUCAUCCAUUUCCAAUGUCUAGUCAAAGAAAGUUGCUAGAGGGAUACCCUCAAAGAGCCACAGCAGGUGUUAAUAGAGAUCACCGUCAACGGCAAGAUGUUUUCAACAAGGCGGUUCCAUAUCAGCACCAUAGACAUGACUAUGAGAAGAUGGAACACAGAGAUGUACGCAAAGUGUGGCAGCAACCAUCUUGGAGCAGGAAUGGAAGAUGUGGUGAGAAUCAGACCGAGCUAAGAAUGGCCCUUGUCCGUCAAAAAUUCAUGGAAGCAAAGCGUCUGGCCGCUCAUGAAAAUCUUCUUCACACCAAGGAAUUUCAGGAUGCCCUUGAGAUUCUGAGUUCAAAUAGAGAUUUAUUUCUCAAAUUUCUUGAGGAGCCAAAUUCCCUACUCUCAAAGCAAACAAGCGAUCUUCACUCUAUUCCUCCACCACCUCAGACAAAGCGCAUUACCGUAUUGAAGCCAUCAAAAAAGGUUGAAACAAAGUUUGAAAAGGUAGUGAAGAAACACGAAAAUUCAGAGAUUGAUGAGAGUGGAUUGGAAACAAACAAUCACCAUUGGGAGCCUAAUUUCAAUCAUUUAAAUUCCGAAAGCUUCUUUCGGCCAACCAGGAUAGUGGUCCUGAAGCCUAGCACAGGAAAUCCUACCAAACUACCAACUUCAACCAUGUCACCUGAGUAUCUAGCACGGACUGAAGUUUAUGGUCACCUAGGAGUUAGUGAAGCCUUUGAAUCAAGGUCCUUGGACAAGGAAAGAGCUGAGCAGAUGCAAAAAAGUCUAACUGGCCAUAGGAGGGAUGAAUCGUUGCUAUCUUCCAUGUACUCUAAUGGGUAUGGUGGAGAUGCGAGUUCAUUCAAUCAAUCAGAAACUGAUUACAAUGUAGAAGAUGGUGGCUUUAGUGAUUCUGGGAUAGUGACUCCAACAUCACGCCAUUCCUGGGAUAAAUUUGGCAGUCUUGGCAGUCCUUACUCAGCCUCGUCUUUUAGCCGGGUCUCAUAUUCACCUGAGUCAUCAGUGAUUAGAGAGGCAAAGAAACGGCUUUCUGAACGAUGGGCUUUAGUGACAUCAAAUGGGAUAAGUGAAGAACAAUUACAGUUGCCUAGGAGCUCAAGCACUUUAGGUGAAAUGCUUGCCAUUCCUGAGGUAAAGAGAGAAGAAUUUGUUGAUGGGUUUACUGUCUCAAGCAAUAAACCAUCUGAUGGAGAAGAUGAACUGAGGUCACCAGCAUUUUGCUCAUCAGUGGGUAGGACGAAAGAUUCAGGAGACCUUUCCCCUGGGAAUUUAUCAAGGUCAAAGUCUGUCCCAGUGUCAUCCACAGCUUAUGAGGUCAUUAGCCUGAAAUUUAAAGGUUCGGAGUCUCAGAUUAGUAGAUCCACUGUGUCAGAGGUGUCGAAGACCAAACAUGGGAAAUCAUCUUUCAGAGGAAAAGUGUCGAGCUUUUUUUUCUCGAGGAGCAAGAAAACUAAUAGAGAAGGACCUGUUUCUUCAACCCUGGUGGACUCCCGUGAGGUAGUAAGUAGAAGUGAUGAGAUACAAAAAUCAGCUGACAACAGUUUGUCAGUGGACAGUCAAGUAAAGGAUGAGGAACAAUCUGCCGAUGUACCUUCUCCAAUAUCAGCCACAAAUGUCGCCGAAAAGGUCAUGCCAUCACUUGAGGAACCCGGAACAUGUGACAAGUCUAGAGAAAAGGAGAAACUCAGUCCAUGUCAAAAUUUCAUUAACAACCUGGACCAACCCAGCCCUACUUCGAUUUUGGAUGCAACAUUUGAAGAUAAUAUGAAUGAAAAUUUGUGCCAGCUAUCUGAAGCUAAUGCUGGACAACAAUUACUUUCCAGGGCUUCACCUAUAGAGUCAGUCGCACGUUCUUUGUCGUGGGAUGAUGCCCAUUUGGGAACAUUGUCCCCGAGGCCCUCAAAUCUCUAUAAAGCUUCGUCCAAGGCAGAUCACACCGACCAAGACUACUUUGUAUUUGUUCAGAAUUUGCUAUAUUUUGCUGGCUUAGAGAAUUCUGAUAUGAUAUUCACUGGAUGGCACUCUCUUGAUAGCCCAUUGGAUCCGAUGCUACUCGACAAGUUCUUGGGUUGGAAAGAAGAGGAACCAAAAUGCACGGAGAAAAGUUCGACCCUGAGGCUCCUAUUUGACUGUGUCAACUCAGCCCUUGAAGAAGUCAGUCGGACCACUUUAACGAGUCUCUACCUAUGGAAUGGGGCAUCCUGUGGAUCACGGAUAAAUGCUGGUGCAAGUUCUACAUUGUCAGAGGCUGUGUGGAGUCUAAUGAGGGAUUGGUAUUCCGGCAACGGGAUAUCGGUGUUUGCUGAGACCGACAACAAUAGCCUGGGGGUGGAUAGAGCAUUGAGGAGGGAGGUGGAAGGAAACAAGUGGGUUGAAUCGAUCAGGAUAGAAGUAGAGGAGAUCACUGGAGAAAUCAGUGGGGAGGUCCUGAAGGAUUUGGUUGUAGAGGCUUUGGCUGACCUUCCUACUGCAUGUAUCUGCUGACCCCUUUUGUCCCUCAGCUUCUGUUACUUGGAUUUGUUGUUUUUGCUGUGGAAGAGGCUGCUACAAUGUUUAGAUUUCUAUGCUUCCACUAGUGAUGAUUCGGUGGAUUUAAUGUGCAUUGCUGCUGAAGGUCAAGAGGAAAUCCACCUGAUCUGAAACAGCGGCAAGAGGGAAUGGUUUCACAGUAGCCUGGACGAGGCCAUGUGAUCUCUUCUCGGAGAACAAAAAGCAUACAAUGGUAAGUGGCUGUCAAGUAGAGAGUUUGUAUACUUAAUACAUUCUUUUUCUACCAAUCUGACCAACUCCAGUUGAUGUCAGGUUGACUAAAACAAUGAACAGUGAAAUCUCCUGGACAUUCUUGGGAUAAGUUCUGGUUAAGUUUGAUUAUAAUUGUUCUAAAUUAAUGUGCAGGUCCGACUGUAAGAUGCCAAUCUGAACCUGGCAUCUUGUUAAUGUUCACAUGGUAGUGGUAUUGAUCUGUCAUGGAUGCGUGUUUGUGGUUC